CCUCUUCCUCUUCCUCUUCCUCUUCCUCUUCCUCUUCCUCUUCCUCUUCCUCUUCCUCUUCCUCUUCCUCUUCCUCUUCCUCUUCCUCUUCCUUUUCUUUCUUUUUUUCUCUUUCCCCCUUUUCUGUCUGGGUCAGGGUCGGGAAAAGGAUUGCACAGGAGGAGACACCAGGCAGGAAAGGUGGCCCAUGUGCCUGGAUGUUCUGAUACAGAUGAAAACUGGAAGAAUGAGGGCUAAGAGCAACUGACAGAAAAUGCAUUGGGAAUAUAAGGAAGAUUCAUGCAAAUGAGAUGGAGCUGACCAAAAGACAUUACUAUGAUCAGAAACUAUGGCUCCCUGAAAAGACGUGUCAUUAAUCUUCU
rnacentral:lncRNA from 1 species